AUUGAACGCUGGCGGCAGGCCUAACACAUGCAAGUCGAACGAGUGGCGGACGGGUGAGUAAUGUCUGGUAAACUGCCCGAUGGAGGGGGAUAACUACUGGAAACGGUAGCUAAUACCGCAUACCAUCGGAUGUGCCCAGAUGGGAUUAGCUAGUAGGUGGGGUAACGGCUCACCUGGGCGACGAUCCCUAGCUGGUCUGCGAGGGUGACCGGCAACACUGGAACUGAGACACGGUCCAGACCCCUACGGGGGGAAGCAGGGGGGAAUAUUGCGCAAUGAGGGCAACCCGACCGAAGCCAGGCCGCGUGAAGAAAGAAGGCCUUCGGGUUGUAAAGUUCGUUCAGUCGGGAGGCGUUACCGACAGAAGAAGCACCGGCUAACUCCGUGCCAGCAGCCGCGGUAAUUC
rnacentral:rRNA from 1 species